UACGUAGGGUGCGAGCGUUUAAUCGGAAUUACUGGGCGUAAAGCGUGCGCAGGCGGCGGCUCAAGUCAGGUGUGAAAUCCCCGGGCUUAACCUGGGAAUUGCGCUUGAAACUAGGUCGCUAGAGUGUGGCAGAGGGGGGUGGAAUUCCACGUGUAGCAGUGAAAUGCGUAGAGAUGUGGAGGAACACCGAUGGCGAAGGCAGCCCCCUGGGUCAACACUGACGCUCAUGCACGAAAGCGUGGGGAGCAAACAGG
rnacentral:rRNA from 1 species